CCUACGGGAGGCAGCAGUGGGGAAUCUUGCGCAAUGGGCGAAAGCCUGACGCAGCAACGCCGCGUGAGGGACGAAGGUUUUCUGAAUUGUAAACCUCUUUCAGCAGGGAAGAUAAUGACGGUACCUGCAGAAGAAGCACCGGCUAACUACGUGCCAGCAGCCGCGGUGAUACGUAGGGUGCAAGCGUUGUCCGGAUUUAUUGGGCGUAAAGAGCUCGUAGGCGGUUUGGUAAGUCGGUUGUGAAAUCCCCAGGCUCAACCUGGGGCCUGCAUUCGAUACUGCCAUGACUAGAGUUUGGUAGGGGACCACGGAAUUCCUGGUGUAGCGGUGGAAUGCGCAGAUAUCAGGAGGAACACCAGUAGCGAAGGCGGUGGUCUGGGCCAAUACUGACGCUGAGGAGCGAAAGCGUGGGGAGCAAACAGGAUUAGAUACCCUGGUAGUCCCACGACCGUAACGGUAGGGCGACGUAGGUGUGGGUACGUAUUACUACGGUUACCGUCGCCGACCGCGUACGACAUAGUACGCCCGCCCGUCGGGUAGGUACGGCCGCCGACGGACGUAAACCGUACGAAACGGAAGUUAGUAACGGUCGUGUUAGACGUGCCGAACGGACGACGACGAGGGAGGAGG
rnacentral:rRNA from 1 species